rnacentral:misc_RNA from 1 species
GAUGAAGAACGCAGCGAAAUGCGAUAAGUAAUGUGAAUUGCAGAAUUCCGUGAAUCAUCGAAUCUUUGAACGCACAUUGCGCCCGCCAGUAUUCUGGCGGGCAUGCCUGUUCGAGCGUCAUUUCAACCAUCAAGCCCCCGGCUUGUGUUGGGGACCUGCGGCUGCCGCAGGCCCUGAAAACCAGUGGCGGGCUCGCUGUCACACCGAGCGUAGUAGAUUUUCAUCUCGCUCAGGGCGUGCUGCGGGUUCCGGCCGUAAAAAGCCUUAUUUACCCAAGGUUGACCUCGGAUCAGGUAGGAAGACCCGCUGAACUUAAGCAUAUCAAUAAGCGGAGGA